rnacentral:rRNA from 1 species
GAUGAACGCUGGCGGCGUGCCUAAUACAUGCAAGUCGAGCGAACGGACGAGAAGCUUGCUUCUCUGAUGUUAGCGGCGGACGGGUGAGUAACACGUGGAUAACCUACCUAUAAGUCUGGGAAAACUUCGGGAAACGGGAGCUAAUACCGUAUAAUAUUUUGAACCGCAUGGUUCAAAAGUGAAAGACGGUCUUGCUGUCACGUAUAGAUGGAUCCGCGCUGCAUUAGCUAGUUGGUAAGGUAAAGGCUUACCAAGGCAACGAUGCGUAACCGACGUGAGAGGGGGAUCGGCCGCACGGGAGGUGGAACAGGGUCCAGACUCCUACGGGAGGGAGCAGUAGGGAAUCUGCGGCAAUGGGCGAAAGCCUGACGGAGCAGCGGCGCGUGAGUGAUGAAAGUGUUCGGAGCGUGAAACUCUGUUAUUAGGGAAGAACAUAUGUGGAAGGAACUGUGGAGAGAUUGACGGUACCUAAUCAAAAAGCCACGGCUAACUACGUG